rnacentral:lncRNA from 1 species
CGUAAAAAAUUGCAUUCAACAAUAAAAAGUUCCCGAGUUUCGGUAAUUAUUCGAUGCUCAUCACAUGUUCACGAGAAUAUUCGUUUUCAUGAAAAGAAUUCAGGAAAGCUGUUUUUCCUAAUAAUUUUAAAAUGAUUUUAUGAGAGACCAUAAAGCUGUCAAUUAUUUUGCAAUUAUAGUGAGACAAAAACAAACUUUGGUUUCCGAAUAAUCGCAAAUGGAAUGUGUGGAAAAAGAAAAUCGUAAAAAAAAUUGAAUUCGUAAAAAAAAGGUUUCGAGGUGGGAAAUACUGUCGUAGAAAAAUUCAUUGUGAAAUUUGCAUUCAAUACAUUAAACGAACAUAUGCAACUGAACGAGCUACGGAAGUAGUAGCUGGUUCAAAGAUGUCGCAACAUAAUGUCCUCUGAACUUUAAAGAUCAUAGUGCACAGAGCAUCUGUCGAUCGCUAGAAAGGGAAACAAAAAAUUGUCAAUGUUUUGAAAGCACUCGUAAUUCAACUAUGGACGCGAAACGUUCGAUAAAAUCAAUGCAAAGAAAUGAAAUCUGGAUCGUGUACUUUGCCACCAUUAAUCGACUCGGUGACGAUAGUUCGAUUAUUAUUUAAACAGCUCGAGCGUAUACGAGCACUUUGUGGAAUUAUUGUAAUCACUCGAAUGAUUACGGUCGGAAACUUUCCCCCGGUAACAAAGCUCGAUCGUACGGAACAAUGGAGAAUGCACGUUGGACUGUAUAGAAAUGAGAAAUGAAUUUCAUCGAGAAUACGACAUUCGAGUUAAUCCAUAUUUCGACAUUUUUUAUAUUCCCCAUGAUCGUUCGAACAGUAAAUUUUUAGUUCCGUUCAACACGAAGAUCCAAGUUUUUGAGGUUAGAAGUGACUCCUUUGUCCCCUUGUGGUGAGUUAACGAAACAAGAAACAAAUAUUCCAACAGGGAGUUCGCAUCGACGCGAGCUCGCUGAUGUAUCGUUCUUGAGGCGGGUCAUGCACACACGUUUUCAUCCUCUCUCAACCGAAUGAGAAAGAGCGCAAUUUCGUACGUGUAGAUUCGCUCUCCAGUACAACAUUUAAAGCAUGUGGGCAGUGGGCAUCCGUCGAACUCGAAGGGGCAGAGGGAGCAGUCGUCGCGAGUUACCGUUCGUUCGUUAGACCUCGCGUGAUUCUACCAAUGGCGUCGGGAGUUGGUAUUCUUCGCGAAUUAAACGACUUUAUUAGGGCUAAUCGUCCUCGGCGAGUACGUGGACAAAGACUCCAUCAUCCCUCAUCGUUUUUUAUCGACUGCGUCGUUUUAUCGAUCUAUAAAUACGUUAUUUAAUUCCUUUUGAAAUCGCGACUUUUCGAUCGAUAUUCCCUCGACGACACUUGUCUCCUCAAACUCGAUACAUACUUUAAUACGAGUGUAUUAAUUUCACUUUGGAACGCUGGUUGAGUGCAUAAAAAAAACGGUGUCCCGAAAUCCGCUUCCACGAGGCGCACGAGCCACGGAAACAUCGAAGCCAACAUUCUCGAACCCGUUUCUCAGCGACGGAACGCGAACAACAUAUUAAUUGGUGAAAAUUUUUAACCAACGUGCGAAAACGAAUGCUGCGCCACUCUCACCGGCGUGUCAAAGUAGCUAAUCAAUAACUCAUCGACGGAUCAUCGGACGAAGUGAUGCGCUAAAAGAAAUAAUGACAGUUUGCCCGGUCAGCCCGGUGAGCGUUGACCGCCCGUAUAUAACUUCGGAAUCACACGAGUUUGUCAACGCGGUAACGAGGGCCGUACUCCGCUGGAUUUCUUGCAUUUACGUGGGAUCGAGGCCGAUGCGGUGAUGUUGCGUUUAAAUUCAGGCUGCGAUGGGCUUAUGGUUGAUCGACCAGAUGAGCGAAGGAUAUAAAUUACAAGGAAAUAUCCGAUUACUCGCGCGAGCAUGGACGAGAAACUUGUUUAUUUUCCGAUCAAACCUCAGAAUAUGUUGACGGGUUGAAACAAAAUACAUAAAUUUAUAGUUAUGUAAGGAUUAUCAUUAUUUUCCCCCUCAUACGAGUGGCUUUGAAAUAUAUUGAUAUUCAUUUACUGCACUAUGAAGAAA